rnacentral:rRNA from 1 species
AAUGAACGCUGGCGGCAUGCCUUACACAUGCAAGUCGAACGGCAGCAUGACCUAGCUUGCUAGGUUGAUGGCGAGUGGCGAACGGGUGAGUAAUGCAUCGGAACGUGCCUUUUAGUGGGGGAUAACGUAGCGAAAGUUACGCUAAUACCGCAUAUUCUCUGAGGAGGAAAGCAGGGGGCCUUCGGGCCUUGCGCUAGAAGAGCGGCCGAUGUGGAUUAGCUAGUUGGUGAGGUAAAGGCUCACCAAGGCAACGAUCCGUAGCGGGUCUGAGAGGAUGAUCCGCCACACUGGGACUGAGACACGGCCCAGACUCCUACGGGAGGCAGCAGUGGGGAAUUUUGGACAAUGGGCGCAAGCCUGAUCCAGCCAUGCCGCGUGAGUGAAGAAGGCCUUCGGGUUGUAAAGCUCUUUCGGCUGGGAAGAAAUCGCACUCUCUAAUACAGGGUGUGGAUGACGGUACCAGCAUAAGAAGCACCGGCUAACUACGUG